CAGGAAUGCGCCGGGUAUUCCAAAACUGUUUAAAAAUCACACAGCGACCGACUGGACGCGGGCCGAUUUUAGCCAAUACUUAUCUUCGCCAGCGCGGCAUCUCCCCCAAGUGCCAGCGCCGGUAAGGACACCUACGGAUAGCGUGUCUUUGUUGUACUCCUAAUGGUCUUAACCCGGAUUCACCCCCCAGAACCCGG
rnacentral:sRNA from 1 species